rnacentral:rRNA from 1 species
GACGAACGCUGGCGGUGUGCUUAACACAUGCAAGUCGAACGGCAAGGCACUGCGUGUGUGGGGUGAUGGGGGGGCGAACGGGUGAGUAAGACGUGAGUAACGUGAUCUUGUUUUUGGGGUGGGUUCAGGAAGCUGGGGUUAAGCUAAGAUAGGAGAUGAUGCUGGGUGGUGGGGGUUGGAACGUUUGGGCGGUUGGGGAUGGACUAGCGGAUGACGGAUUAGCUGGUGGGGGGGGUAAAUGCCCACCAAGGCGACGAUCCGUAGCUGGUCUGAGAGGAUGAUCAGCCACACUGGAACUGAGACACGGUCCAGACUCCUACGGGAGGCAGCAGUGGGGAAUAUUGGACAAUGGGCGCAAGCCUGAUCCAGCCAUACCGCGUGGGUGAAGAAGGCCUUCGGGUUGUAAAGCCCUUUUGUUGGGAAAGAAAAGCAGCAGGUUAAUACCCCGCUGUUCUGACGGUACCCAAAGAAUAAGCACCGGCUAACUUCGUG